rnacentral:rRNA from 1 species
CAGUAGCCGCGGUAAUACGUAGGUGGCAAGCGUUGUCCGGAAUUAUUGGGUGUAAAGGGCUCGCAGGCGGUUUCUUAAGUCUGAUGUGAAAGCCCCCGGCUCAACCGGGGAGGGUCAUUGGAAACUGGGAAACUUGAGUGCAGAAGAGGAGAGUGGAAUUCCACGUGUAGCGGUGAAAUGCGUAGAGAUGUGGAGGAACACCAGUGGCGAAGGCGACUCUCUGGUCUGUAACUGACGCUGAGGAGCGAAAGCGUGGGGAGCGAACAGGAUUAGAUACCCGAGUAGUCCCUGUCUCUUAUAC